GGCGGAUCCUGGAGUCUAGCCCUGAGUGUUCCUGAGGGCAGAGUUGAAUUCCAAGCCAGAGGUGUGGAGAGCAGCCUGGGUCUUGCAGGUCCUGCAUGCUGAGGAACUUUGUCUUCUCCUCUUAAGCUUGGAAUCAAUUUUUGCUCUGUUUUACUUUCAAAAAGGAAGAAAGAAAACUUAAAUGCCUGUGUAAAUCUCAGACAAAAUAGACUUCAGAGCAAAUAAUGUAAACAGGAUCAAGAAGGACCUGAGGAUGUUGUUUCAGAAUACAUGAAGCAAAACCUUUAGGAAGUGAAAGAAGAAAGAAAACUACACAAUUAAAGCUGGAAACUCUCAUACUUCUCUUUUGGUAAUAAACACAGUAGACAGAAAAUCAACAAUGGUAUAGGCUGCAGAUACUAAAGAAUUCACCAACACCAUGGACCACAUCUAACAUUCUCCCCAGCAACAGUACAACGAUUUCUUGAAGUGCAUAGCGAAGAUUCCUAAGAGAAUCGUCUCUUUUCAGAUGGCAGUGACCUUGGGAUGACUCAGAAGGCAUCAUGGUACU